GUAUGUUGUAUAUUUUGGUCCCGGCAGCACCCUAUAAUGUAUGCAUGUUCAGGUGAGUGCAGCCAUCUUGGUUUCAUAUAUAUAUAAUUAUGAUUUUGUUGUGCUUUAGAGAAAAUCAAAAUUAAAGAGUUACAGCUAUUACAGUAAAACUGUAAUUUGUGGAGUAUUGCAGUAGAGCAUUAAAACAAAUAGAAAUAUGUUUUGUAGUUUUUAAUCUGUUAUGGUUUGUCUAUUUAAUCCAUAUAACUUCCAG